rnacentral:snoRNA from 1 species
AGGCAAUGAUGAGCGAAGUAUAGUCUGACCUGGUACUGCCAUGGCGUCUUUUUUGGCACUGACCAGGGUGUGAUCACGCAAUCUUCUCUCUGAGCUG